rnacentral:sRNA from 1 species
GCCGAUUAACCAAGCGUUAAGCUUUCUGAACUAUUACUGGCGUCGGUCCAGUUUUCGACCGCGAGUGGCCCUGUCCACUCUGUUUGACGCAUCCCUGUCUAUGACUUCCGAGCCGCCUCCGGGCGGCUCUUUUUUU